rnacentral:rRNA from 1 species
UACAGAGGUCUCAAGCGUUGUUCGGAUUCAUUGGGCGUAAAGGGCGCGUAGGCGGCGGGGUAAGUCGGGUGUGAAAUCUCAGAGCUCAACUCUGAAACUGCACUCGAUACUGCUUUGCUUGAGGACUGGAGAGGAGACUGGAAUUCACGGUGUAGCAGUGAAAUGCGUAGAUAUCGUGAGGAAGACCAGUGGCGAAGGCGGGUCUCUGGACAGUUCCUGACGCUGAGGCGGACGAAAGCUAGGGGAGCAAACGGG